CAAGCUUUAACAUGUUCUCAACAUAUAUGACUGCCAACUACAAGAAGAGGUGGUUAUAAUUUCAGUUACAGUUUGAUCCAUAAUAGCAGACAAAUUAAUGCAGAAAACAAGUCACGAGCAUAUGGUAUUGGAAUUUCAAUCCGGAAAAGUGCAAAAGGCACAACGGUGUACAGGAAAAUUAAAAAAAUUGAAAAAGAAAAUAGAAAAAUCCAAAUUUUAAACAGGGACACAUGGUGAAACACAGAUGCCAGUAUAUACAAAAAAGCAGCU